UUGAAGGAAGUUUUCGGAUGGAAUUCGAUUGACUGAGUGGCGGACGGGUGAGUAACGCGUGGAUAACCUGCCUCACACUGGGGGAUAACAGUUAGAAAUGACUGCUAAUACCGCAUAAGCGCACAGUACCGCAUGGUACGGUGUGAAAAACUCCGGUGGUGUGAAAUGGAUCCGCGUCUGAUUAGCCAGUUGGCGGGGUAACGGCCCACCAAAGCGACGAUCAGUAGCCGACCUGAGAGGGUGACCGGCCACAUUGGGACUGAGACACGGCCCAAACUCCUACGGGAGGCAGCAGUGGGGAAUAUUGCACAAUGGGCGAAAGCCUGAUGCAGCGACGCCGCGUGAGUGAAGAAGUAUUUCGGUAUGUAAAGCUCUAUCAGCAGGGAAGAAAAUGACGGUACCUGACUAAGAAGCCCCGGCUAACUACGUGCCAGCAGCCGCGGUAAUACGUAGGGGGCAAGCGUUAUCCGGAUUUACUGGGUGUAAAGGGAGCGUAGACGGCGAAGCAAGUCUGAAGUGAAAACCCAGGGCUCAACCCUGGGACUGCUUUGGAAACUGUUUUG
rnacentral:rRNA from 1 species